rfam:Acidovorax citrulli AAC00-1, complete genome.
CCGGCGAGUAGAAGCGUUCAGCACGGCGGGGCCAGCCUCCGCCGCCGCCCGGAAAUUGCUCGAUCC